rnacentral:rRNA from 1 species
UUGGAGGGCAGUCUGGUGCCAGCAGCCGCGGUAAUUCCAGCUCCAAUAGCGUAUAUUAAAGUUGUUGCAGUUAAAAAGCUCGUAGUUGAAUUUCGGGAUCAAUUUAUUGGUCGUGCCAACGGUACGCACUGGUACAAUUGGUUUCUCCCUUCUGACGAAGCAUGAUGUCAUUAAUUUGAUGUCGUGGGGAAUCAGGACUGUUACUUUGAAAAAAUUAGAGUGUUUAAAGCAGGCUUUGGCUUGAAUACAUUAGCAUGGAAUAAUGAAAUAGGACGUUUGAUCUUAUUUCGUUGGUUUCUAAGAUCGACGUAAUGAUUAAUAGGGAUAGUUGGGGGCAUUAGUAUUCAAUUGUCAGAGGUGAAAUUCUUGGAUUUAUUGAAGACUAACUACUGCGAAAGCAUUUGCCAAGGAUGUUUUCAUUAAUCAAGAACGAAAGUUAGGGGAUCGAAGACGAUCAGAUACCGUCGUAGUCUUAACCAUAAACUAUGCCGACUAGGGAUCGGAUGAUGUUAAUUUUUUAAUGACUCAUUCGGCGCCUUACGGGAAAC